rnacentral:rRNA from 1 species
UGCCAGCAGCCGCGGUAAUACGGAGGGUGCAAACGUUGCUCGGAAUUACUGGGCGUAAAGCGCGCGUAGGCGGUUUGGCAAGUUGGGUGUGAAAGCCCUGGGCUCAACCCAGGAAGUGCACUCAAAACUGCUAAACUUGAGUCUCGGAGGGGGUCAGAGAAUUCCCGGUGUAGAGGUGAAAUUCGUAGAUAUCGGGAGGAAUACCAGUGGCGAAGGCGCUGGCCUGGACGAUGACUGACGCUGAGGCGCGAAAGCAUGGGGAGCGAACAGGAUUAGAUA